rnacentral:rRNA from 1 species
AACGCGAAGAACCUUACCUGGGCUCGAAGCACAGUGGACCGGGGUAGAAAUAUCCCUUUUCGCAAGAACUGCUGUGGAGGUGCUGCAUGGCUGUCGUCAGCUCGUGUCGUGAGAUGUUGGGUUAAGUCCCGCAACGAGCGCAACCCUUAUCGUUAGUUGCCAGCGGGUCAAGCCGGGCACUCUAGCGAAACCGCCCCGGAUAACGGGGAGGAAGGUGGGGAUGACGUCAAGUCCUCAUGGCCUUUAUGUCCAGGGCUACACACGUGCUACAAUGGUCGGUACAAACCGUCGCAAACCUGCGAAGGGGAGCUAAUCGGAAAAAGCCGGCCUCAGUUCGGAUUGGAGUCUGCAACUCGACUCCAUGAAGCUGGAAUCGCUAGUAAUCGCGGAUCAGCACGCCGCGGUGAAUACGUUCCCGGGCCUUGUACACACCGUAGUAC